AUGCUUGGCUCUCGGCAUAGAGCACGAGAGCAGAGCUGGCGGAGGAAAGCCGGGACGGCACGGAGAAACGUGCUCCUGCACUCGAGCACGAGAGCAGAGCUGGCGGAGGAAAGCCGGGACGGCACGGAGAAACGUGCUCCUGCACUCGAGCUCCCGCAGGCCCCCUCGGUGUUCCCUUUGUUCCCCUGCUGUGGUGACAUUGCAGCCAGCCCCUCUUGCGAGGUCACCAUCGCCUGCCUCGUGACCGGCUAUUUCCCAGAGCCCGUGGCAGUCAAGUGGAACUCUGGCACAGGGACCAACGGGACCAAGACCUACCCAGCCGUGGUGCGGGGCAGCGGCAACGCCUUUACUCUCGUCAGCCAGCUCACUGUCUGCCCCUGUGAUCUGGAGCGUCACACCUACCAGUGCAGCGUGGAGCAUGCACAGUCCAAUACAAAAAUCGAUGUGGUCAUCCCAAAUGUGUGCGAGGUGCUGGUUCCGCCUGAGGUUCGCCUCCUGCCCCCCUCCUGUGAGCGUGACACCAUGGAGCAACAUCUGGAGCUGGUUUGCCUCCUCCUGAGGUUCACUCCGGGCACCGCGAAAGUGGAAUGGUUGGUGAACGGCGAGAAGAGACUUCCUACCACAGACUUAUCCUUCGGGAAGGGCACAGACAAGUCCUACACGGGCCAGAGCCGACUGAACGUCACCAAGGAGAGCUGGAAGACCGGGGACGUUUACACCUGUAAAGUCACACAUCCAUCGACAGGAAAGGAGUACUUCAUGCAGAACACCAGCAAGUGCUUGGCCUGCUCCAGCAAGUCAGCACCUCCCUCCGUCCAUGUCACCCAGCCCACCUAUGGGGACCUGCUUGGGGAGACAGCCUGGGUGAUGUGCGUGGUGGUGGGCUCUCACUUGGCGGAGGCUCAGGUCUCUUGGGACGUGGACGGGAAAGCCAGUCCCGAGGCACAGAAAGGGACCCUAAAUCAAGCCAACGGGUCCCACAGCAUCACCAGCACCCACAGCAUAACCUUGGAGCAAUGGAAGAGCCGGACAACUUUCGUGUGCAAAGUGAGACUUCCUUGCUUUGAAGAAGUCACCCAGGAGAUGCCACUCAUGGACACAAGUGGUGGCGACUGUACCCCACAGGCUGUGGAGGUCUUUCUACUUCCCCCAUCCCUGGAGGACCUCUACAUAGCGCAUACUGCCAGCAUAACCUGUUUGGUAAGUGGCAUGGAGACCCACGACACCCCGGAGUUCUCCUGGACUCGGAAAAGCGGGGGACCACUGAAUGAAGUCUCCAGGGUCUCCGAGCUGCAGGAAAAUGGCACCUACAGUGCAACCAGUGUCCUGCAGGUGUGCGUGGAGGAGUGGCAGUCAGGGGAGGAAUUCACCUGCUCCGUGAAGCACCAAGACAUCCCAUCAGCCAUUGUCAAGACCAUCCAUAAGAGCAAAGAGGUCUCUCUCCGGGCCCCUUCUGUCUACGUCUUCCCUCCUCAUGCGAAGGAGCUGGCGCUCCAGGAAUGGGCCACCAUCACCUGCCUGGUCUCUGGCUUCCAGCCCAGAAACAUCUUGGUGUUAUGGACCCGGAAGGACAAGCCCAUGCCAGAGGAUGCCUAUACCAACAUUGGCCCCAUUCGGGAGGCCGGGGUGGAGGAAAGCUACUUCAUCUACAGUAAGCUCAGAAUCCAGGCCUCUGAAUGGCAGAAGGGGGACACCUUCUCCUGCAUGGUGGGGCAUGAAGGCCUGCCCAAGAUCUUCACCCAACAGAGUGUGGACAAAGCCUCCAAUCUUCACUGCCUGGUGGAGGACCAAGGGGUCUAUCUUGAAGGAGGAGAGGGGGAAUCGGACCCUCUCUGGACGCCUGUAACCUUCAUCGCGCUGUUCCUGCUCAGCCUGGUGUACAGCGCUGGCGUCACGCUGUUUAAGGUGCGGUGAGCGCCCAACUCCAGGGUUUCUCCUUCCUCUUCAUCACCUCUGUCCAUCUUCAGCAUCCUCGGCUCAGGCUCUAUCUGUGCCCGCCUGGAGCAGCCGCAUCCCACGGCAGCACUGAGGCUGGAGACCAGCCGCUGAAGGAUGUGAGGGCAGAGGUCUCCCGGACACCCCUCCAUCCCUGGAGCAGCCACAUUGGAGCCGGGGCCCAGCCCCGUGUCCCUCCACCCUC